AGACAGAGGAAAGAAGAGUAGAAAGGGAUA
rnacentral:piRNA from 1 species